rnacentral:rRNA from 1 species
GACGAACGCUGGCGGCGUGCUUAACACAUGCAAGUCGAACGGAAAGGCACUGCUUUUGUGGGGUGCUCGAGUGGCGAACGGGUGAGUAACACGUGAGUAACCUGCCCUUGACUUUGGGAUAACUUCAGGAAACUGGGGCUAAUACCGGAUAGGAGCUCCUGCUGCAUGGUAGGGGUUGGAACGUUGCGGCGGUUGGGGAUGGACUCGCGGCUUAUCAGCUUGUUGGUUGGGUAGUGGCUUACCAAGGCUUUGGCCGGUAGCCGGCCUGGGAGGGUGACCGGCCACAUGGGGCCUGAGAUACGGCCCAGACUCCUACGGGAGGCAGCAGUGGGGAAUAUUGCACAAUGGGCGGAAGCCUGAUGCAGCAACGCCGCGUGCGGGAUGACGGCCUUCGGGUUGUGAACCGCUUUCGCCUGUGACGAAGCGGGAGUGACGGUAAUGGGUGAAGAAGCACCGGCUAACUACGUG